AAGCUGGUUUUCACUUAUCUUGUCUUUAUACCGCUGCAGGUUUAUCUUAAACAUGAAGGGUCAAUGUGUAAUAUUACCAUGUCUGGCCUAUUUAAUAGUGUAUUUACACAUAUAUAGAAACUCCAACCCAGCUGUGUUAUCUGUUUAUUAUACACACUACUGAAAUAACAUAUUUUCGUAUAAGUAACCUUGUACGGAUACAAACUUUAUUCGUAGUGAAAAAUGUCGACCCCUAUUACAGAGGCAAGUAACAGUAUUACAGAAGAGAUAGAUGUGGCGUCGCCUUCAGAAAUCGUUACUUUACUUGAAAAGUGUGAUCAGGAGAUAUUUGAUGGCUACAAAGAUUACAAAUCGAUAUUCAGCGAAGAGAUGAUAAAGACAAUUGAUGAUGUUUCAGAACAUGUCAUCGAAU